rnacentral:rRNA from 1 species
GAUCCUGGCUCAGGAUGAACGCUGGCGGCGUGCUUAACACAUGCAAGUCGAGCGAAGCAGUUAAGAAGAUUCUUCGGAUGAUUCUUAACUGACUGAGCGGCGGACGGGUGAGUAACGCGUGGGUGACCUGCCCCAUACCGGGGGGAUAACAGCUGGAAACGGCUGCUAAUACCGCAUAAGCGCACAGAGCUGCAUGGCUCGGUGUGAAAAACUCCGGUGGUAUGGGAUGGGCCCGCG